rnacentral:lncRNA from 1 species
CUUGUCUGAUGUAAUAAUAUAAGUUGCCCUUUCCUCCUGGUGGAUGCAGACUUGUACCAGGGAGUACACAGUCCUCACUCGCCUCCUUGGUCAGGCAUCUUUGUGCAGUGUUCAGGCUGCACCACCGGAUGCAGGAUCCCUGGAGAUAGCAAGAGCAAUCAGGGAGAGGAGAGGAAACAUUAACCUCACAGUCUGACUGUUCAGACCCGGUCUGGGCCCUGUCCCACACCACAUCUUUCCUUUGGAAUCAGACAGAGCGAGAAACAAAUUCAAGCUCCAUCAUCAUCUAUGAGUAAUCCUGGUCAACUCUUGUAUGCCCCUUGAGCCUCAGUUUCCUCAUCCGUGAGGAGAUGCUCAUGCCUUGUGAUGCUCAGACCUCAUAAUGAUGUAAGGAUUAAAUCCUUUCUCCAUCGAUGAGGACAGCCAACAUCUUGAUUGCACCUUGUGGGAGAACUUGAGCCGGAGGACCCCCAAAUGGCACCUAGAUUCCUCACCCACAAAGUGGAGCCAAGAAGCAGAGGGAGCGAGAGACGGUGAAAGAGAGAACGCCAGGGAAAGGACAAUAUAUGAAGAUGAACAGUGCGACUUAAGACUCUUGAUAUGCCUGAGGACAGAAAUCUUUUGAGGCAAGCGAGAAGGUGCGAGGCAGAUUGACCUGGGUGUCACCACACAGCGGGGACAGAAUCAUCAACUGAGCAGGCCCUCAGAGGAAAGGAUGCCCGGCACUGGGAUCCACAGGCAGCUUCCAUUCCAUUGGAGCCAACCAGAGGAUAGCUCAUUUCCCGCCUCAGCAUUCCCACCCUUCCAGGCUCCUCCCUUUACGGUGUUCCCUCCACCAAGGGGCUGGGAUGUCAAUGCUCACAAUAAAAGGAAGAUGGGUCUGGGGCAGAGUGCCAGGCCACCUUCUCAGUCCUUUACAAGCG